CAUGCAGUCGAGGGGUAUUGGUUUUCGGACCAAGAGACCGGCGCACGGGUGCGUAACGCGUAUGCAAUCUGCCUUUCACAGAGGGAUAGCCCAGAGAAAUUUGGAUUAAUACCUCAUAGUAUAUAUGAAGUUGGCAUCACUUUAUUAUUAAAGUCACAACGGUGAAAGAUGAGCAUGCGUCCCAUUAGCUAGUUGGUAAGGUAACGGCUUACCAAGGCAACGAUGGGUAGGGGUCCUGAGAGGGAGAUCCCCCACACUGGUACUGAGACACGGACCAGACUCCUACGGGAGGCAGCAGUGAGGAAUAUUGGUCAAUGGGCGCAAGCCUGAACCAGCCAUGCCGCGUGCAGGAUGACGGUCCUAUGGAUUGUAAACUGCUUUUGUACGGGAAGAAACACUGAUUCGUGAAUCAGCUUGACGGUACCGUAAGAAUAAGGAUCGGCUAACUCCGUGCCAGCAGCCGCGGUAAUACGGAGGAUCCAAGCGUUAUCCGGAAUCAUUGGGUUUAAAGGGUCCGUAGGCGGUUUGGUAAGUCAGUGGUGAAAGCCCAUCGCUCAACGGUGGAACGGCCAUUGAUACUGCUAAACUUGAAUUAUUGGGAAGUAACUAGAAUAUGUAGUGUAGCGGUGAAAUGCUUAGAGAUUACAUGGAAUACCAAUUGCGAAGGCAGGUUACUACCAAUUGAUUGACGCUGAUGGACGAAAGCGUGGGUAGCGAACAGGAUUAGAUACCCUGGUAGUCCACGCCGUAAACGAUGGAUACUAGCUGUUGGGGGCAACUUCAGUGGCUAAGCGAAAGUGAUAAGUA
rnacentral:rRNA from 1 species